rnacentral:rRNA from 1 species
UACAGAGGGGGCAAGCGUUAUUCGGAAUUAUUGGGCGUAAAGGGCGCGUAGGCGGUUCUUCAAGUCUCUCGUGAAAUCCCUCGGCUUAACUGAGGACGUGCGGGAGAUACUGAAGGGCUUGAGUCCGGAAGAGGGUGGUGGAAUUCCCAGUGUAGCGGUGAAAUGCGUAGAUAUUGGGGAGGAACACCGGGUGGCGAAGGCGGCCACCUGGGCCGGAACUGACGCUGAGGCGCGAAAGCGUGGGGAGCAAACGGG